rnacentral:tRNA from 1 species
AAAGCUUUAAGUUAAAUUAAAACUAUUAACCUUCAAAGUUAAAUAUAUAUUAGAUAUAAGCUUUA